rnacentral:rRNA from 1 species
UACGUAGGGUGCGAGCGUUGUCCGGAAUUACUGGGCGUAAAGAGCUCGUAGGUGGUUUGUCGCGUUGUUCGUGAAAACUCACAACUCAAUUGUGGGCGUGCGGGCGAUACGGGCAGACUGGAGUACUGCAGGGGAGACUGGAAUUUCUGGUGUAGCGGUGGAAUGCGCAGAUAUCAGGAGGAACACCGGUGGCGAAGGCGGGUCUCUGGGCAGUAACUGACGCUGAGGAGCGAAAGCGUGGGGAGCGAACAGG